rnacentral:rRNA from 1 species
CGUGUAGGCGGAAUGGUCAGUCGGUGGUGAAAUCUCUGGGCUUAACCCGGAAACUGCCUCCGAUACUUCCAUUCUUGAGUGCAGGAGAGGGUAGUGGAAUUCCCGGUGUAGCGGUGGAAUGCGCAGAUAUCGGGAGGAACACCCGUGGCGAAGGCGGCUACCUGGCCUGACACUGACGCUGAGGAACGAAAGCGUGGGGAGCGAACAGGAUUAGAUACCCUGGUAGUCC